rnacentral:rRNA from 1 species
AAACUUUCAACAAUGGAUCUCUUGGCUCUCGUAUCGAUGAAGAACGCAGCGAAAUGCGAUAAGUAAUAUGAAUUGCAGAAUUCCGUGAAUCAUCAAAUUUUUGAACGCAAAUUGCACUUCUUGGUAUUCCGAGGAGUACACAUGCUUGAGGGUCAGUU